AUACGUGCGCUGUGUGCACGUGCGAGUUCCCGACACGGCAGGUGAAGUGCCCGCGCGUGCGGUGCCCGCCGCUCAAGUGCUCGGACAAGGAGGCGUACAGGCCAGAUAAGAAGGCGUGCUGCCGGGUGUGUCCUGAGAAAAAACCUGAAGACGAAUCGCUCAUUAAAGAUCAAGAAGGUGCACCGAAGACUGCGGAAGAAAUCCUGGCCGAGGGAGGAUGCAAGUUCCCCUACGGACCGCUGCCCAACGGCAAGGAGGUGCACCCCAACAUACACUCGCACGGCGAGCAGCGAUGCGUCACUUGUCGCUGCAAGGAUGGCGAGGUGACGUGUGUGAAGAAACGGUGCGGGCGCGGCGCGUGUUUGCGGCGGCGGCGGGGCGACACGUGCUGCGCGUGCCCGCGCCACCGCCGCCAACGCGCGCCGCGCCUGGCGCGCCCGCCGCCGCCGCCGCCCAGCUGAGCGGCCGGCGCCACCCCGACACCGACCACCCUGCUAUGUUAACAUCUGCGGCUAGCGGGACUUAACGCUGCAGCGAUACGGCCGGCCGACCGGCGGGUGUUGACAUGACACGGGUACCCGGGGCCCCGCCGUCGGGCCCCGUCGCCGGACGGCUCGUAGGCUAAGUGAGUGAACGCUUCGCUCUAAUAGACUGAUAUAUUUUUAUGUACUCGUGCGAUUCGAAUGUCUAGUUGUAGUCGGCGGUCGCGCCGCGACCGCGUCGGCCCGGGAUUCCGAUCGACGGACGAAUUUUAGCUUUACUGUGUAUUAUUCGGCGAUGAAUAUUUACUUACCCACCGGUAUUUUAAUUGGUAUUAUGAUGUCACGAAAUUUUAUAGGCGCAUUACACGCUGACCCGACAAUAAACACGUUCAGAGUAUUAGAGCUCGCGCCCGGGAGUGAGAGAAGGCGAGCGGUUGAUAUCGUUGAAGAUGUGCCAUAUUCUCUUAAUGUAAAUAUAAAUUAUUAUUUUUUACUUUACUCAUGUGCAUAUUUAUUUACGAUUGUAACGUGUAUGUGCGUCACGCACGCUUAGGUAGUCGUGUUUGAACCAUCACAAGCUAUCAUUGGAUUGGUCGCCUGAUUUGUGCAUUUGCUUUUAGUUUUAUGUCAGUACAGUUAACUAAUUUAAUUUGUAGUCCUCUGUGGAAACUUGUCUGAAGGUGCUUUUUAGUCGUUGCAGCAAAGUAAGGAGCAGCUUUUAUAUUAUCGCCUGCAAAACAGUCAUACGUUUCCGUCUAUUGUUUCAUAGCCUAUAAUAUAAAGUGUUUAAUCCUGGUCUCGACUGGAAAAGCACCAUGCUAUACUAACGUUUAUUGACGUGUUUAUGGCAUUAUGAUGAGCUUGCACAGUGGCCUACAGGUCAAUAUUGAUUGAGUGUACGUAUGCCAGUGCGUGAAAUCGAGUCACACACGGACUCCUCAAGCGACAGAUAUUGUUAUUCAUUCAUUAUAAGUAAUUAUGUCACGUAGGUUAUAAAUAGGUGCAGAUAAGAUGUGGCGGCCGACACCACGUCGCCGGAAUGUGAAUGUGUAAAUAAUUUAGGUAUCACUUUACGGUAAUGUUUAAUUGCUAAAUAGUAAUUAACGUUUUGCAUUGUAUAUUAUUUUAUACUGAUUACACACGGAUUGUACUGCUAUGGUUCAAUAAGUAGGUAGCGACUAGUUUGAUUAAUUACUAGGUUAACGAUUAGUUACGUAAUUAAGGAAGCUAGUCCAAAUGUUUGAAGGAGGAAGCCAGGUAGCCAAGAACCAUUUUGAGAAAUCAUUUUACAAUUCAUUAUAAGUUACUUAAGUAUACUUUUAACUUAAGGAUUUAAAAAAUUAGGCAUAAAGAACAAAAUUCACGUUAUUGUGGGUUCUAGUCCAUCAAAAUAUGUAUUUGAUUUUGUGAUUACAUUUUAUGUUACGGCUAUUUUGUGGAUGUCAUAUGGAUAUCACUCAAUAACAAAGGCACAAGGAGUUCUCUUGAUUUAAUUUUUGUUUAAUCUAACAAUAGGGAAGUAGCACUAUGGCUUGCGAAUAACAUAAACUAAUGGCCAUAAAGGAUACUAUGAAUUCGCUUGUACUGCAAUGUUUUAUUAUUUAACAAUUAUUUUAAUUAUCUAUGUCAUCUAUUGAAUGGCGAAUGACGUAGGUAAUAAUAUUAUGGCCACACGGUCCUCCAUGUGUCGUGUUGCCAAUAUAUUUCUGUUAUAUGUAGGUAUGUACAGAUUGUACAGUCGCCAUUAGAUGUAUUGGAAUGGCUAAGGUGCUCAAAAAUAUAUAUCGUAAUAUGCACUAUAUUGGUGACCACUUUAGUCGUUCCAAUGGCGAGUUUGCCCAUACUGAGAGGACUUCAAACACUGAACCAAAUUUGAUCAACCAUUUCGUUAUUAUACCUUUACAUGUGUAAUUUAAUGUCUUCCUAAAUUUGCAUAUCGUGAGUUGUUUAGACUCUAUCAAUAGUUUGUAAACAGUACGGUUAAAGAAAUAAAAUUACCUGUGAACACAACA